rnacentral:rRNA from 1 species
UGGUGCAUGGUUGUCGUCAGCUCGUGUCGUGAGAUGUUGGGUUAAGUCCCGCAACGAGCGCAACCCUUAAGCUUAGUUGCCAUCAUUAAGUUGGGCACUCUAAGUUGACUGCCGGUGACAAACCGGAGGAAGGUGGGGAUGACGUCAAAUCAUCAUGCCCCUUAUGAUUUGGGCUACACACGUGCUACAAUGGACAAUACAAAGGGCAGCGAAACCGCGAGGUCAAGCAAAUCCCAUAAAGUUGUUCUCAGUUCGGAUUGUAGUCUGCAACUCGACUACAUGAAGCUGGAAUCGCUAGUAAUCGUAGAUCAGCAUGCUACGGUGAAUACGUUCCCGGGUCUUGUACACACCGCCCGUCACACCACGAGAGUUUGUAACACCCGAAGCCGGUGGAGUAACCUUUUAGGAGCUAGCCGUCGAAGGUGGGACAAAUGAUUGGGGUGAAGUCGUAACAAGGUAGCCGUAUCGGAAGGUGCGGCUGGAUCACCUCCUUU